UACGUAGGGUGCGAGCGUUGUCCGGAAUUAUUGGGCGUAAAGAGCUCGUAGGCGGUGUGUCACGUCGGCCGUGGAAACCUGCAGCUUAACUGUGGGCGUGCGGUCGAUACGGGCAUCACUGGAGUUCGGCAGGGGAGACUGGAAUUCCUGGUGUAGCGGUGAAAUGCGCAGAUAUCAGGAGGAACACCGGUGGCGAAGGCGGGUCUCUGGGCCGAUACUGACGCUGAGGAGCGAAAGCGUGGGGAGCGAACAGG
rnacentral:rRNA from 1 species